AACAGGAUUAGAUACCCUGGUAGUCCACGCCGUAAACUAUGGAUGCUAGCUGUAAGAAGUAUCGACCCUUCUUGUAGCGAAGCUAACGCGUUAAGCAUCCCGCCUGUGGAGUACGGUCGCAAGACUAAAACAUAAAGGAAUUGACGGGGACCCGCACAAGCGGUGGAGCGUGUUGUUUAAUUCGAUGGUAAGCGAAGAACCUUACCCAGGCUUGACAUCCUGUGAAGGUCUCCGAAAGGAGACUGUGCCUUCGGGAAUACAGUGACAGGUGAUGCAUGGCCGUCGUCAGCUCGUGUCGUGAGAUGUUUGGUUAAGUCCAUCAACGAGCGCAACCCUUGUAGUUAGUUGUAUUUUUCUAGCUAGACUGCCCUGGUAACAGGGAGGAAGGGGGGGAUGAUGUCAGGUCAGUAUUUCCCUUACGUCUGGGGCUACAAACACGCUACAAUGGCCGGUACAAAGGGCAGCCAAAGCGCAAGCUGGAGCAAAUCCCAUCAAAGCCGGUCCCAGUUCGGAUAGCAGGCUGAAACUCGCCUGCUUGAAGAUGGAAUCGCUAGUAACGGUAGGUCAGCACACUACCGUGAAUACGUUCCCGGGUCUUGUACACACCGCCCGUCAAACCAUGAAAGUCGCCAAUACCUGACGUGUUAGCUUUGCCUAGCCCUAAGGUAGGGGAGAUGAUUGGGGUUAAGUCGUAACAAGGUAACC
rnacentral:rRNA from 1 species